AGGCCUCUCCUACCUGAGACAAGUCCGCUUAGGUAAGCUGACAUAAUUAAUUGUUCUUGUGUGGUCUCUUGUUAAGCACACCCUGAAAGCUCAACUGUUAUUCACUUAUUUGUGACAUUUCUGUCCCACCUCUCCUCAACAAGCUGAAGGUGGCUCUCCUGCCCGUUUGUUUUAUUCACAUGACAACCUUGUGACAUCAGUCAGGCUGCAAGACAGGGAUUGGCCCAAAGUCACCCAGUGGGUUUCAUGGCUGGCUCUGUCUACAUCCAGUACUCUGUCCAGUUAAACCACAAUGGCUCUAUGGACACCCUGCCACCCUCACAUGCUCAGUACACACCGAAUACAGGGAGAUCACUCUCCUUUACCAUUAUAAACAAGAAAACAGAACCCGAUUGUUUCAGAGAAGGGGCUAUUGUGCCAUUGCAACCGGAGAACUUUUUACACUAGGCAAAAUGAAGCAGUGCAAUCCUCAUCUAGUCAGUUCGUUUGCAUUGAAUGGGAGCGACUUCCAGAUGCCUUUCACCCUGUGAGGUGACCAGAGGCAGUUCACAAACAGUGCCUGAGAUUUAAGGUCUAAAAACUGAGACAUGAGAAAAAUGGACGUGAAUGUUGAGUGCCCUGGCCAACCAGAUGCACAUGGGAAACCUACAGCCAGGACAUGAGUGCUGUGGCAUCUUGCUUCCUGUUCUUUCACGUGUUUUAUUUUGAGGCUGCCUCCAUUUGCAGAGUAAAGUAAUCUGUCACGGAUUGGGAAACACCUGAAGGAAUCCCUGUUGGAUCAGUUCCUCUAGGAAGCAAAAGAAGCAAAGAGCAGAUGUGUAACAGUUCCAACUGUACUAAGCAGAAGAAAACAGCUCAGUAGUUACAACACUCUUCCACACCUCAGGCUUUGCAGUGCCAGCCUCAUGAAGCUUCUUAUGAGGACCCAAAAGCUGACUUUUAAAGUGAUAUUGUAGCAGGAACAAUAAAGGUAUUACACAAGCUUCUUUUAAAGUUUUGCUCAUGAAGGACACGCCUUUUAAGUUUCCAAAGUACAAAGCCUA